GACGAACGCUGGCGGCGUGCUUAACACAUGCAAGUCGAGCGGAAAGGCCCCUUCGGGGGUACUCGAGCGGCGAACGGGUGAGUAACACGUGGGUAAUCAACCCCUGACAUCGGGAUACCCCGGGGAAACCCGGAUCAAUACCGGAUAAGGUGCGGAGGCGCAGGCCGCCGUACCAAAGGUAGCUUCGGCUUCCGGUCAGGGACGAGCCCGCGGCCCACUAGCUUGUUGGUGGGGUAAUGGCCCACCAAGGCGACGAUGGGUGGCUGGUCUGAGAGGACGAUCAGCCACACUGGGACUGAGACACGGCCCAGACUCCUACGGGAGGCAGCAGUGGGGAAUCUUGCGCAAUGGGCGGAAGCCUGACGCAGCAACGCCGCGUGCGGGAAGAAGGCCUUAGGGUCGUAAACCGCUUUCAGGGGGGACGAAGCUUCCGGGGUGAAUAGCCUACGGGGUGACGGUACUCCCAGAAGAAGGUCCGGCUAACUACGUGCCAGCAGCCGCAGUAA
rnacentral:rRNA from 1 species